UACAGAGGUCCCCAAGCGUUGUUCGGAUUCAUUGGGCGUAAAGGGUGCGUAGGUGGCGCCGUAAGUCGGGUGUGAAAUUUCGGAGCUUAACUCCGAAACUGCAUUCGAUACUGCGGUGCUUGAGGACUGGAGAGGAGACUGGAAUUCAUGGUGUAGCAGUGAAAUGCGUAGAGAUCAUGAGGAAGACCAGUGGCGAAGGCGGGUCUCUGGACAGUUCCUGACACUGAGGCACGAAGGCCAGGGGAGCAAACGGG
rnacentral:rRNA from 1 species